AUUGAACGCUCGCGGCAGGCUUAACACAUGCAAGUCGAGCGAGCGGCGGACGGGUGAGUAAUGUCUGGGAAACUGCCUGAUGGAGGGGGAUAACUACUGGAAACGGUAGCUAAUACCGCAUACCAUCAGAUGUGCCCAUAUGGGAUUAGCUAGUAGGUGGGGUAAUGGCUCACCUAGGCGAGGAUCCCUAGCUGGUAUGAGAGGAAGACCUGCACCACUGGAACUGGGACACGGUCCAGACUCCUACGGGAGGCAGCAGUGGGGAAUAUUGCACAAUGGGCACAAGCCUGAUGCGGCCAUGCCGCGUGUGCGAAGAAGGCCUUCGGGUUGUAAAGCGCUUUCAGCGAGGAGGCGUUGCCCGCAGAUGAAGCACCGGCUAACUCCGUGCCAGCCGCCGCGGUAAUAC
rnacentral:rRNA from 1 species